rnacentral:lncRNA from 1 species
CCCAGUACAGGAAACCAGGGACGGGGAACAUUGUCAUGCUAGAAAUGGGGACAUCCUGUUAGGGAGAGAGUAAGUGGGUCCCUUAGAAGCAAGGCACAGAGCUAAUUUCUACCCCUCUGAGAAGUACUGGCAUCCCUAGCAGAUGACUGGAGGCUUGCCUGGGAGAACUAUCACAUCCUCUGAAAUGGAGCAGCAUGGGCUGUGGGGCUGAAGGGAAGCAUACCACUUGGACUCCACUUUUCCUUUUCCAAAAUCACAGUAUUCUACCCUCUGAGGUAGGUAUAGUAACCCUCUGAGGCACAUCCCCGUUCAAGAGCAAUUAAAUGAAUUUCCCAGUUUCACAGAGCUAGUGAGAGGCAGAGCUGGGGCCAGGUCCAGAUGGUCUGGUUUCAGAGCCUGUGCUCCUAACCACUGGGCUGCAGCUAGAAUCACAUUGGAAGAAGUGCACUGGGAGGCCACAUAGUUGACA